rnacentral:rRNA from 1 species
GACGAACGCUGGCGGCGUGCCUAAUACAUGCAAGUAGAACGCACAGGAUGCAUCGUAGUUUACUACACCGUAUUCUGUGAGUUGCGAACGGGUGAGUAACGCGUAGGUAACCUGCCUGGUAGCGGGGGAUAACUAUUGGAAACGAUAGCUAAUACCGCAUAAGAACAUUUACUGCAUGGUAGAUGUUUAAAAGGUGCAAAUGCAUCACUACCAGAUGGACCUGCGUUGUAUUAGCUAGUAGGUGAGGUAACGGCUCACCUAGGCGACGAUACAUAGCCGACCUGAGAGGGUGAUCGGCCACACUGGGACUGAGACACGGCCCAGACUCCUACGGGAGGCAGCAGUAGGGAAUCUUCGGCAAUGGGGGGAACCCUGACCGAGCAACGCCGCGUGAGUGAAGAAGGUUUUCGGAUCGUAAAGCUCUGUUGUUAAGGAAGAACGAGUGUGAGAAAUGGAAAAGUUCAUACUGUGACGGUAUUAAACC